rnacentral:rRNA from 1 species
UACGAAGGGGGCUAGCGUUGCUCGGAAUGACUGGGCGUAAAGGGCGCGUAGGCGGUUUGUACAGUCAGAUGUGAAAUUCCUGGGCUUAACCUGGGGGCUGCAUUUGAUACGUGCAGACUUGAGUGAGGAAGAGGGUUGUGGAAUUCCCAGUGUAGGGGUGAAAUUCGUAGAUAUUGGGAAGAACACCGGUGGCGAAGGCGGCAACCUGGUCCUUGACUGACGCUGAGGCGCGAAAGCGUGGGGAGCAAACAGG